UCCCUGCCGAAGAGUCCCAAACUAGGACGAAACAGCUGUCCAGUAC
rnacentral:hammerhead_ribozyme from 1 species